GGCGGUGUGGCGGUAUGGUAACGCGUUGGGGAUCCCAUUCCUGUAACGGGGAAAGGGUGUACAGUCCCAAGUCAAAGUGGGUUCGAUUCCCACCUAAGUUA